AACGAACGCUGGCGGCAUGCCUAACACAUGCAAGUCGAACGAGACCUUCGGGUCUAGUGGCGCACGGGUGCGUAACGCGUGGGAAUCUGCCCUUGGGUUCGGAAUAACAGCGAGAAAUUGCUGCUAAUACCGGAUGAUGACGUAAGUCCAAAGAUUUAUCGCCCAAGGAUGAGCCCGCGUAGGAUUAGCUAGUUGGUGAGGUAAAGGCUCACCAAGGCGACGAUCCUUAGCUGGUCUGAGAGGAUGAUCAGCCACACUGGGACUGAGACACGGCCCAGACUCCUACGGGAGGCAGCAGUGGGGGAAUAUUGGACAAUGGGCGAAAGCCUGAUCCAGCAAUGCCGCGUGAGUGAUGAAGGCCUUAGGGUUGUAAAGCUCUUUUUACCCGGGAUGAUAAUGACAGUACCGGGAGAAUAAGCUCCGGCUAACUCCGUGCCAGCAGCCGCGGUAAU
rnacentral:rRNA from 1 species